rnacentral:rRNA from 1 species
AUUGAACGCUGGCGGCAGGCCUAACACAUGCAAGUCGAGCGGAUGAAGGGAGCUUGCUCCUGGAUUCAGCGGCGGACGGGUGAGUAAUGCCUAGGAAUCUGCCUGGUAGUGGGGGAUAACGUCCGGAAACGGGCGCUAAUACCGCAUACGUCCUGAGGGAGAAAGUGGGGGAUCUUCGGACCUCACGCUAUCAGAUGAGCCUAGGUCGGAUUGGCUAGUUGGUGGGGUAAAGGCCUACCAAGGCGACGAUCCGUAACUGGUCUGAGAGGAUGAUCAGUCAACAACGCACUGAGACAGGCGCAAGAAUGCAACAGUAUGUAGCAGGAGGAAUUAUGGGCAAGUGUGAGAGAGCAGGAUCCAGCCAUGCCGCGUGUGUGAAGACGGUCGUCGGAUUGUAAAGCACGUUAAGGUGGGAGAAGGGUCAGUAAGUUAUUACCGUGCUUGUUUAAUGGGCACAACAGAACAAGCACCGUGUACCUUCGUGCCGGCGGCCGCGGUAAUAAUG